rnacentral:rRNA from 1 species
UACGUAGGGUGCAAGCGUUGUCCGGAAUUAUUGGGCGUAAAGAGCUCGUAGGCGGUCUGUUGCGUCGGCUGUGAAAACCCGGGGCUCAACUCCGGGCCUGCAGCCGAUACGGGCAGACUAGAGUUCGGCAGGGGAGACUGGAAUUCCUGGUGUAGCGGUGAAAUGCGCAGAUAUCAGGAGGAACACCGGUGGCGAAGGCGGGUUGCUGGGCUGACACUGACGCUGAGGCGCGAAAGCCAGGGGAGCAAACGGG